GAGAUUGAACAGGUGAAGCAAAAGCUA
rnacentral:piRNA from 1 species